GCAUCCUCUGUUCCCUGUGGCCAGCCUGGACAUCAUCCCUGGCUUUCUUCCAGCCUUUUCCUCCCCCAUCUCUGCCCGCAGAAGUUUGAACAGGGCUUCAUCACGGACCCCGUGGUGCUGAGCCCCUCGCACACUGUGGGCGAUGUGCUGGAGGCCAAGAUGCGGCAUGGCUUCUCUGGCAUCCCCAUCACUGAGACGGGCACCAUGGGCAGCAAGCUGGUGGGCAUCGUCACCUCCCGAGACAUCGACUUUCUUGCUGAGAAGGACCACACCACCCUCCUCAGUGAGGUGAUGACGCCAAGGAUUGAACUGGUGGUGGCUCCAGCAGGUGUGACGUUGAAAGAGGCAAAUGAGAUCCUGCAGCGUAGCAAGAAAGGUA
rnacentral:lncRNA from 1 species